AUGGUUCUCGCUGCUCAAAAGAAUGGUCUCAUUAAAGGAUUAGCUGCUGAUCUUAUUGAUAAUGGUGUUAGUAUCCUGCAGUAUGCAGAUGACACGGUUCUUUGUUUUGAGCAUGAUAUUGGCAAAGCUGUUAAUAUCAAACUCUUGCUAUAUCUUUUUGAACUUAUGUCAGGGCUUAAGAUUAACUUUGAAAAAAGUGAGAUUUUCAGUAUCGGGGGAGAUAAUGAUACUGACUUGGUUUAUGCUGACAUGUUUGGUUGUCAAGCGGGCACUCUGCCUAUGAAAUAUCUGGGAGUCCCCGUUACAUAUUCUGCUCUCAGGAAUGCGGAUCUGGACUUCCUUGAUGGGAAAAUUAUCAAAAAGCUUGAUGCCUGGGACUUUCAUUGA
rnacentral:rRNA from 1 species